UGAGUAACCUGCCCUUCACUCUGGGAUAACUCCGGGAAACCGGGGCUAAUACUGGAUAUGACUCGAACAGGCAUCUGUUUUGGGUGGAAAGAUUUAUUGGUGGAGGAUGGACUCGCGGCCUAUCAGCUUGUUGGUGAGGUAAUGGCUCACCAAGGCGACGACGGGUAGCCGGCCUGAGAGGGCGAUCGGCCACACUGGGACUGAGACACGGCCCAGACUCCUACGGGAGCA
rnacentral:rRNA from 1 species